rnacentral:rRNA from 1 species
AGAGUUUGAUCCUGGCUCAGGAUGAACGCUGGCGGCGUGCCUAAUACAUGCAAGUCGAGCGAACGGACGAGAAGCUUGCUUCUCUGAUGUUAGCGGCGGACGGGUGAGUAACACGUGGAUAACCUACCUAUAAGACUGGGAUAACUUCGGGAAACCGGAGCUAAUAACGGAUAAUAUUUUGAACCGCAUGGUUCAAAAGUGAAAGACGGUCUUGCUGUCACUUAUAGAUGGAUCCGCGCUGCAUUAGCUAGUUGGUAAGGUAACGGCUUACCAAGGCAACGAUGCAUAGCCGACCUGAGAGGGUGAUCGGCCACACUGGAACUGAGACACGGUCCAGACUCCUACGGGAGGCAGCAGUAGGGAAUCUUCCGCAAUGGGCGAAAGCCUGACGGAGCAACGCCGCGUGAGUGAUGAAGGUCUUCGGAUCGUAAAACUCUGUUAUUAGGGAAGAACAUAUGUGUAAGUAACUGUGCACAUCUUGACGGUACCUAAUCAGAAAGCCACGGCUAACUACGUGCCAGCAGCCGCGGUAAUACGUAGGUGGCAAGCGUUAUCCGGAAUUAUUGGGCGUAAAGCGCGCGUAGGCGGUUUUUUAAGUCUGAUGUGAAAGCCCACGGCUCAACCGUGGAGGGUCAUUGGAAACUGGAAAACUUGAGUGCAGAAGAGGAAAGUGGAAUUCCAUGUGUAGCGGUGAAAUGCGCAGAGAUAUGGAGGAACACCAGUGGCGAAGGCGACUUUCUGGUCUGUAACUGACGCUGAUGUGCGAAAGCGUGGGGAUCAAACAGGAUUAGAUACCCUGGUAGUCCACGCCGUAAACGAUGAGUGCUAAGUGUUAGGGGGUUUCCGCCCCUUAGUGCUGCAGCUAACGCAUUAAGCACUCCGCCUGGGGAGUACGACCGCAAGGUUGAAACUCAAAGGAAUUGACGGGGACCCGCACAAGCGGUGGAGCAUGUGGUUUAAUUCGAAGCAACGCGAAGAACCUUACCAAAUCUUGACAUCCUUUGACAACUCUAGAGAUAGAGCCUUCCCCUUCGGGGGACAAAGUGACAGGUGGUGCAUGGUUGUCGUCAGCUCGUGUCGUGAGAUGUUGGGUUAAGUCCCGCAACGAGCGCAACCCUUAAGCUUAGUUGCCAUCAUUAAGUUGGGCACUCUAAGUUGACUGCCGGUGACAAACCGGAGGAAGGUGGGGAUGACGUCAAAUCAUCAUGCCCCUUAUGAUUUGGGCUACACACGUGCUACAAUGGACAAUACAAAGGGCAGCGAAACCGCGAGGUCAAGCAAAUCCCAUAAAGUUGUUCUCAGUUCGGAUUGUAGUCUGCAACUCGACUACAUGAAGCUGGAAUCGCUAGUAAUCGUAGAUCAGCAUGCUACGGUGAAUACGUUCCCGGGUCUUGUACACACCGCCCGUCACACCACGAGAGUUUGUAACACCCGAAGCCGGUGGAGUAACCUUUUAGGAGCUAGCCGUCGAAGGUGGGACAAAUGAUUGGGGUGAAGUCGUAACAAGGUAGCCGUAUCGGAAGGUGCGGCUGGAUCACCU